GAGCCGAAAAUAGCAGCAAAACCAGAAAAACAACCAGCCAGACCAAGAAACUAUCCCCAAAACAAAUAGACCAACAUUAACAAUAUUAUGAAAACAACACAUCUAAAAGGAUAAAACCAAAACAAGUUGAAAAAUACCCAAAAACAAGACAACAAUGAGGCAGCACCACACACAAUCAUGCCAAAAAGUCGGUAGCAACAGCACAAGAAACAAAGCAAACUUGACCACAUCUCAAAUCACCCGAUGAAGCUGAGAUCAAAGCAAUAAAGUAAAGUCUUCAAAGCGCUGGUGACCCUGUUUUGCAAGCAAGUCAGCCAUGCAAUUAGCCUCUCUAGGGUCAUGCACAAAAGAAACAGGGGGCAAAGUAUAUAUAGUGAUAGAAUUGACAGUUGCCAUGGUGCCGGAUCCGGAUUAUUAACCAAUGAAAGAGCAACUCUAGAGUCUGACUCCAUAAAUAUACCAGCAGCCAAUGUGCUAAGGUCAGGUUUGGGGGAGAAAAGAUGUAGAGCUUUCUCUAUUUCCUUCAUCUCAGCAACAUUGGAGUCAUUGCAACCUAAUUCGCUGCCCUGCCCUCCGAACCACAAACUGGGAUGCACGUCCCAGAAGGCCAGAACACGAAACUCCAGCGUUUCAAAUGAUUUGGAAUGUAUCCUGGUUCGCUGAAAUAGGCGUUUCAAAGAGGCAGGCAGUGGCAACACUAGAAAAAGAUAUGAUAAGAAGGAAAAUCAGAGGAGAAUUUGACUACAAACAACAAAAACUUUGGUAUCAGCAUUACGUUACCAUCUCAUUGAGCAGUCAUAUGAUUCAAUGUUCUUCUUCAAUAACGAGAUUUUGCCAAUCCCCAUCCCGCAUGAUUCACACCCAAUACCAACACCAAUAACAAACAUGGAGAAGAAGUUAAAACAAGUGCCAAAUUCUUCUCAAAUUUUAAACUUUAUUGUUGAAAUCCAACCAAAAUCUCUUGAUCAGAAAUUUUGCUACAGUUUCCUGGUCUGCACAUUCAUUGAUGGUGGAAUCAACAACCAUUCCAAUGCUUUCUAAUGUGAUUUAGAGUGGUUUGCAAAGAUGGAAUAUGGGUUCUGAUGAUUUUUCUAUGAGGUUGAUGCACAUUGACUUAAAAGCAAGAAUGGAAGAUCCAAAUGAACAGUCCUUUGAGCUCACCUUUCCCUUUCCCUGUGUGUCUGGAAACAAAAAGGAAGGUUGUUGGUCUUUCCUUGUUUAUUUCCAUCCGGCAAAGUCUAUCCUUCUCUUUCGUUUACUCCUACGACUUUUAGUUGUUUCCUUCAAAACAAACAGAGGGCUAAGGCCUUCUUCCUCCAAGUCAUUUGUGCUAGUUUCCAUGUAAUUCUUGAAGGUGCUUCUACUACGCUCAGUCUCACUACAACACUUGUCAUGACGACGUCUCUUGGCUUUGUACCUUUCUUCCUCAGUUUCUUGAUUACUGUCAUCAAGCAGAUGAGAUGUUCCAUUUAAAAAACUAAGAAUUCCUUUAUCCACAGAUGUCUGCGACAGAGAGAGAGGUUUUAUUUUUUUUCUAGCUGGAGACCAAGGAAUAGGUGACACAACAAAAUCAACAUAUUUCUCAUCUUGGUCAUAUAGUAGACGGACUCCACACUCGAUUACAUUACAACAAUUUAAAGGACUGUUGUUCAUAUCUUGCGGGUAAAAUUUGAUUAUGACCGCACUAAAUUUUCCAAAACUGUUAUUUUUCAUGACGUCCAAACAGGGAUCAAACCCCACGAACACAUGAUCUGACUUGAUAAAUCGUCUAUCCUUCCAGCCAUACCAACCACCAAAAUCACAAUGGAGAUCCAGGAAAUCACCAUAAUUAUUCUUGAAAUGGUAACUGCAUCUAAAUUGGAAACUGGAUUCAUCAAAACACGAAUCAAAUGCAACAAGUGCACAUAGAGUGAAACCCAAGAAAUCAUUACUAGCCCAAUAUGAAGGCAGCUCAAUUGUUAUUGAAGAUUUCCAACUUUGAUGCCCAAACCAUUUUGGAAUUGUUCUUCCUGGAAAGCAUAAGCUGGAAGGCCCGGCUGGUACAGAAUACAUCUGAUUGUGUAAUCUUUUGGUGAAAAUCUGAAUUUUCAAUAGGGCAUAUGCCAUGAUGUUAUUGCAAGCAAUCUCAUCUAAACUGAGACAAUUGGUGAAAAAGAAGUCACAGAUGUUCCCCUCAACUGCAGUCGAUUUGGUCGAAACAUUUAUCAGCGAUGUGCAAUCAUUUGCAUCUAAUUUUGUUAGCCGUGGUGGAAGCUCUGGUAACGAUAAAAGCCGCUUACAAGACCUUAGGCCAAGGUAUUGCAGCUCCGGGAAGUUCUCAAAGCUUAUAUGUAAAUGCUCAAAAUUGUUUCCACUUAAGUCCAGUACUUCCAGAGAGGAAAAGCAGCGGAUGGUGCAAGGCACAUGUGAUAUACCACAACCACUUAGGCAUAGCUUCCGCAGAUAUUCUAAAUCUGCAUUCCAGUCAGGUAAGCUGCUAUAAAAUUCAGGCAUUUUGACAAGGUUUUUGCAGUUCCCCAAUUCCAAGACAGAAAGUCCUGGAAGAUUUUUAAUUGGCAACGGUAACCUUCUUAUGGCUGUUCUGUCUAAGUAUAGAUAUCUUAAUGAAACCAUAGUCUCCAAAAUUUCUGGAAAGUUCUCAAAUUUGGAGCAGCCAGAGAGAUUAACCUUUUGGAGAGAUUUCAACUUACAAAAACUGCUUGGGAGAGUCUCGAAUUCUGUACAGUUCCUCAGAUGCAAUUCAAUUAAAUUAGACAAUGGCUCAAUUGAUGAUGGAAUUUCCUUUAUUGCUGUCCCAUCUAAAUAUAACUCCCUUAUAUUUCUUGAGACCUCAGGAAACAUGGUGAUACUUGAGCAGCCAGAGAGAAUAAGUUUUUGAAGGGAUGCCAACUUAGAAACGGUACAGGGAAGAUUCUUAAGCCUUUUGCAGUUCAUUAGAUCCAAAGUAGAGAGUCUACGAAGACAACCAAUUGAGGAAGGAAGCUCUUCUAUUGCAGUAUCACUUAAGUACAAAUAUCUGACAUUCUCAGAAAAAUCCGGAAACCUGGUGACAUUCAAGCAGCCAGAGAUAUCAACAAUUAUAAGAGACUUCAUAAAACAGACAUUGUCUGGAAGAUUCCCAAGUUGUUUACAGUCCUUCAAAUUCAAUGCAACAAGUCCACUGAGGUACCCAAUUGAUCGGGAAAGUUCUUCUACUGCAGUCCCAUUUAAAUUCAGAUACGUCAAGUUCCCUUUAAUUUCUGGACACCUCUGAAGAUUUGAGCAGCCAGAAAACUUAAGAGUCUUGAGAGAUCUCAGAUUAAUUCUACUUGGAAGACUCAUAAGACUAGUGCAGUGACUAAGAUCCAACUCAACAAGCUUGUCUAGAUACUGAACAGAUGAAGGAAAUUCUACCAAACUUGUACAGUAAUCAAAAUUCAAUCUCUCAAGAUUUGUAGCCAGUGAGAGGUCUGGAAUUGCAGUUAAGUUCUCACAAUUGCUAAGAUUAAUCUCUUUCAAAUUCACAAUAUUCUGUACUCCUCCCCACAGUUGUUGAACAUUGCCGUAAGAGAGGUCAAGUUUGACCAGGUUCUCUGGCUGAAAAGUAGAUGGCAAAGAUUUCAGAGGGAAUCCAUCCCAAUGGAGAUACCUCAACUUAUCAGGAAGUGAUCCCAGACCGUAAGGAAUGUGCACUUUGCAGUUAUUUCCAACUCCAGAGUCAUAAAUUUUGAGCAAUCUAAGAUUAUGCAUCUCAUUAAAGGCUCCAGAACUCAACUCCAUUUCUCUUAUGUUAGAAAUGUCUAAGAAUAUCCCUUCAACUUUCUCAGUUCCCAGAUUUUUGGUCAGCAGUUGAUACACAUCUCUUGGAUUCCAUAAUCUGCUGCGUUUUCCUAUCUGAUUAAUUGAUUCUUGGCGAACAAUUUCAUGA
rnacentral:misc_RNA from 1 species